rnacentral:rRNA from 1 species
AUGCACGCGUGUCUGGUGUGUGUGGGUUUGGUUGUGCCCGUGUCCUCUCAUGGGGGCAGCCACUCAGUUCAGCUCUGGACAGAGGAGACUGGCGAUUUGGAUCCGCCAUGUUGUUCCUGCCGUCGAUGCAGCUUCCCCGGCUGCUUCUUGGGCGGAGGAGGGAGCUCAGCUGCUUCUUGGGCGGAGGAGGGAGGUCGGCUGCUUCUUGGGCAGAGGAGGGAGCUCGGCUGCUUCUUGGGCGGAGGAGGGAGCUCGGUCCAUCUGUUCGCCCAGCCGCCCAGAUCCAUGGGGGACAUGUCCACGAUUCAACGCCCGCCUGACGUUAUCACCAAGAUACUAAGUUGUCCAGGUGUGGUUGAAUUGACAACUCAACUGCUAAUACUCAAGAAUAUUCUUUGGCCCCCCUUGUGUCGAAUCAAUAAAUUUGGGUUGAAUACUUUACCCUCGAAAGCUGUUGUGAUCCCCUACACUUGUGGGUUAUCAAGACUAAUUUCUGGCGCCGUUGCCGGGGAGCAUAGCUCUAUUCUCUGA